UGGGGAAUUUUGGACAAUGGGGGAAACCCUGAUCCAGCCAUCCCGCGUGUGCGAUGAAGGCCUUCGGGUUGUAAAGCACUUUUGGCAGGAAAGAAACGUCGCGGGUUAAUACCCCGCGAAACUGACGGUACCUGCAGAAUAAGCACCGGCUAACUACGUGCCAGCAGCCGCGGUAAUACGUAGGGUGCAAGCGUUAAUCGGAAUUACUGGGCGUAAAGCGUGCGCAGGCGGUUCGGAAAGAAAGAUGUGAAAUCCCAGAGCUUAACUUUGGAACUGCAUUUUUAACUACCGGGCUAGAGUGUGUCAGAGGGAGGUGGAAUUCCGCGUGUAGCAGUGAAAUGCGUAGAUAUGCGGAGGAACACCGAUGGCGAAGGCAGCCUCCUGGGAUAACACUGACGCUCAUGCACGAAAGCGUGGGGAGCAAACAGGAUUAGAUACCCUGGUAGUCCACGCCCCUAAACGAUGUCAACUAGCUGUUGGGGCCUUCGGGCCUUGGUAGCGCAGCUAACGCGUGAAGUUGACCGCCUGGGGAGUACGGUCGCAAGAUUAAAACUCAAAGG
rnacentral:rRNA from 1 species